ACAGAACUGUAUUUGCUUUGCGUUACAUGUUUCUGUUAUCCGAGUUUCAGACGUGUCCAAUAGAUGGCAUGUGUCCACUUUUGUUUAUGUCAUGGCGGAUUCAUGACAGAUUUUUGUUUUGUUGUUAAAAGUUUCCUUUUUUCCACGAAAACUACCGAUUAUUUCAUAGGUAAAUUCAAGUGCAUUUCUGUGCAAGUUUUUGAUGAUGUGAUUUAUUUCGUAUGUAUAUUGGAUCACCUUUCAUAUUUCUCAUUAGGCCUAUAACCUGUAGUAGGAAGUAACGCGAAUGUAAACAGUAGCCUACAAAUCGUCAUUUUGCUGAAUGCAUCAUCCAGUUAAUACAGUUACUAUUGAUCUUGGUAGGUCACUAACACCAGCGUGGACAGAUUGUUUUUCCAAUCCAAACAUGUUUUUCUACAAAAAAUGCAAUUGACCAACAGGUGUUCUUCUUCUUAUGAAUUUUUAAAUUUUAUUUGAUUUCACAAAUCGUAUUUUCUGUCAUGGAGAAAUAUGGAAACUAUAAUCUAGGCCAUGGCCCAUGGGUAAUCUUCAGGUUUAUUGCAGCAACUUGGGAGAAGUCACAUGAAAAAAUGUGGACACAACUAGAUUUGUAUUUUUCUGGACGGUUACUACUCUCGUGUAGAUUCAACAUGACUAACUGUUUGAUGCCAAAGUUAGUUGGAAGUCUGAACUCAAACACAGUUGCUGGUGCCUUACAGUUGCAGGCAGGGAAAUUAUUCUUUUCAUCAGAAAAUUCGAGUGAAAGGCGUAGCGAAUUCAAGUUGAGCUGUUGCGUGCCGUCUUCAAGCAAUCAAUCCAGCCGUUCCGUUCAGUCAUUUGAACAGGAAUCUUAUGGCUGUCACUAGGUGGCUAAAAAUGAUGUUCACCACCAGGUGGCGCCUGUGUCUUGAAGAAGAAAAUUUGAUCAUUUUGUUUCAAGACGCAGCCGAUUUGUUACUGGUCGUGACGUUUCUCAAGAUGAAAAUGUAAAGGUGAUUUAACAUGUAAAAACCACUUUGCCAAACUAAAACUCUGACUUGAAAGUAUAUUUUGCCGAAAUGUCGUGCCUCGUGUCAGUCUCGUGUGUCUUGCUGUCUGUUCCAAGGCGUACGUCUCAUCUCAGUUACAGCAAAAGUAUAAUAAUCACACUUGUUUUACAUUGUGGUUAACAUGUCGCAGCCAGAUGGUGAAAGGUGUGAUGAAAACUGAUCCCGUUGUAUGCAGCAUGUGGUGCCAGUGAUAUCCUGCGGUAGCUGUACUUGUGCGUCUUGCCGCCUGUUCCCAGGUGUACGUCUCAUCCCAUGCUUCAGCAAAAGUGUAACAACCACACUUCUUUUUUGCUGUUGGUUACCCUGUUGCAGCCAAAUUGUGAAAGGUGUGAUGAAGACGGAUUGAACCAUUGUAUGGAACAUGCAGGUGCAGUUUAAUCCAGAAGUUGCUGUGCUGUUGUAGCUGAGCUGUUCCAUCUGGGUUCCUGACUUAGAAAUUUUUGUGUUGUCAUUUAUGCCAUAAAAAAAAGGAAUUGCUUUUUGUGUUGCUGAGUCAAAAGUUUGAUCUGUUGUCUUUUGAGUUUUCAUUCAAUCAUGCAGUAUACGACUGAGGCA
rnacentral:lncRNA from 1 species